rnacentral:misc_RNA from 1 species
AACGCACCUUGCGCCCUUUGGUAUUCCGAAGGGCAUGCCUGUUUGAGUGUCAUUAAAUUCUCAAACCUUGAUCAGUUUUGCGCUGACUUCAAGGCUUUGGAUGUGGGAGUCUUUUGCUGGAACUCUUUUGGAUCAGCUCUCCUUAAAUGCAUUAGCGGUUACUUGAUCCCCUUUCCUUGGUGUGAUAAUUAUCUACGCCUUUGAAACGAUCAGCAUUGUAUCAGCUUCUAACCGUCCAUUGACUUGGACAACUUAAUUGACCAUUUGACCUCAAAUCAGGUAGGACUACCCGCUGAACUUAA